rnacentral:rRNA from 1 species
AACGAACGCUGGCGGCAUGCCUAACACAUGCAAGUCGAACGAGACCUUCGGGUCUAGUGGCGCACGGUUGCGUAACGCGUGGGAACCUGCCCUUAGGUUCGGAAUAACUCCCCGAAAGGGGUGCUAAUACCGGAUAAUGUCUUCGGACCAAAGAUUUAUCGCCUUUGGAUGGGCCCGCGUUGGAUUAGCUAGUUGGUAGGGUAAAAGCCUACCAAGGCGACGAUCCAUAGCUGGUCUGAGAGGAUGAUCAGCCACACUGGGACUGAGACACGGCCCAGACUCCUACGGGAGGCAGCAGUGGGGAAUAUUGGACAAUGGGCGAAAGCCUGAUCCAGCAAUGCCGCGUGAGUGAUGAAGGCAUUAGGGUUGUAAAGCUCUUUUACCCGGGAUGAUAAUGACAGUACCGGGAGAAUAAGCUCCGGCUAACUCCGUG